CAAUGCACGCAAGUGUGAUAAGGGGAUCCUCAGUGCUCAUGCAUUGCAUGGGCUUUUGCUAAGAGUAAAUAUCUUGGCGAAUAAGUGGUGGGUAAGACUGGUGCCAGCCGCCGCGGUAACACCAGCGCCACGAGUGGCAACCACGUUUAUUGGGCCUAAAGCGUCCGUAGCCGGUUUAAUAAAUCUCUUGUGAAAUCGUCAGGCUUAACCUGACGGCGUGCUCGAGACACUGUUUAACUUGAGACCGGGAGGAGUCAAAGGUAUUCCAGGGGGAGCGGUAAAAUGUGAUAAUCCCUGGAGGAUCACCUAUGGCGAAGGCAUUUGACCAGAACGGAUCUGACGGUGAGGGACGAAGGCUAGGGGAGCGAUCCGGAUUAGAUACCCGAGUAGUCCUGGCAGUAAACGCUGCGAGCAAGAUGUUGCGCUUCUUUAGAGGAUGCGCAGUGUCGAAGAGAAGUCAUUAAGCUCGCCGCCUGGGAAGUACGKUCGCAAGACUGAAACUUUAAGGAAUUGGCG
rnacentral:rRNA from 1 species